UACGUAGGUGGCAAGCGUUGUCCGGAAUUAUUGGGCGUAAAGCGCACGUAGGCGGCUAUUUAAGUCAGAGGUGAAAUCCCGGGGCUCAACCCCGGAACUGCCUUUGAAACUGCAUAGCUAGAAUCUUGGAGAGGCGAGUGGAAUUCCGAGUGUAGAGGUGAAAUUCGUAGAUAUUCGGAAGAACACCAGUGGCGAAGGCGACUCGCUGGACAAGUAUUGACGCUGAGGUGCGAAAGCGUGGGGAGCAAACAGG
rnacentral:rRNA from 1 species